UGAUCAAACAAUUUCCUAUUUAUUACAUUUGCAAAAGAAGAAAAAUAAUCAUGGUUUCAAGUUUCAAGCUCUUUUAUGCUUUGGUUAUUUAUAUUUCUCUAUUUAUGGUUUUAAUCAACCGUAGUAAGUUAUAUUCUUGUAUUAUUUUUAACUUUUUUUUAUACAUAAUGUUUACUUAUCUUUUAGUAAUUUAUUCAUUUUUUAAUAUCGCAGCUCCAUUCCCCUUAAAUCUACUUCGGUGCAUUAAAGAUGAUGAUUGUCCUUGGGAUAUGUGUCUUCACACUAUGUCAGAUCGGAUAUGUAUUAGUGAUGCUUGUUUUUGCGCAUGACUUUUAGAAAAACAAAUCUAUAUUACUCAUUAACAACGAAUAAUUUUACUUGUAAAUGAAGUUUCCAAAAUAAUAUUUAAAUUAUUUUUGGCUUCUCUAUUUUGAUAAAAGUGAAAUCAAUUGUUAAAGUUGUUAUAAAUAAUAUUCAAUUUGGAUAUGGUUGUCCAUUUUCUUAGUCUUUUAAUAUUCAUUAAUUUUUAUGAAUAAAUUAUAAUUAUAAGUAUUUAAUGAUAUGUAUCUUGACGUGAAAAAUACUCGAAACGUUCUCAGUUUUCAUAUGUAAUCAAGUUGCAAUCAAAGUUUAUUUUUAAAACAGAAAAUAUUGAUAAAAUCUUAAAUAAUAAAAAAUGGUCUUCGCAAUUAAAUUUAAGUUCGGUAGUUGAUUACGUGUAAAGAAGAUAUUAUCACCUUACGACAUCCGUUUAAGAAAACGGUUAUCUCUAAUUAAUUGUGCAAAAGAAAGUCUUUAACCUUUUUAUAUUCGAUUUCUCCUUAUUUUUAAACACGAAAUAUGACUUAUUUACAAGAAAGAGGAAACAAAUUUUUUUUAAUUAUUAUUAUGCUUGACAAGAUUUGGUUCUGCCUUCUAUGUAUCUCUCGGUGUGUUGGAGAAUUCAAAGCUAUAUAGUUAUUGGAUAGAAAAAUCUUGUGUGUUGAUCGUACUAAGGCAAAAGGAAAGUUAUUUUUUGGUCCUAAUUGCUUUUAGGAGAAAGACGAGUGUUCAAACUAAUAAGUCAUAUGACUUCUGUCCGCAUACUUCAGGAUAAAAAAUGUACAUCCAGAUAAUUCCUUUUUAAUCCAAUUUUGGUUUAUAAAGAAUGUGAAAUUCUAAACUAUCAAGUUGUACAACUUGCGCCUUGAAAAUUCAACGAUUAAAAUAGGUGUACAUCUAUUUAACCAUUUUUUUGUUUGUAUACUUUGAUGAUUAUUAAUUUAUUAAAAGACAAGACUUAGGACAACUAAGUUAUUUUCGGGAAGAAAGAUGAGAGUUAGAAUGAACAAGUCGUAUGACUUGUGUCCGAGCACUCUAGCAUAAAAGGAGAUACAUCCGACUAAUCCAUUUUAAUUUUGAGCGAAAAUGUGAUAUUCAAAACAAUCAAGUUAUACAACUUGUGUCUUGAAAGUUCGGCGGUUAAGAUAGAUGUGCAUAUAUUUAACCCUUUUCACACGAUUUGUUUGUUAAGGCAAGACUUAGAACAAUCAAGUUGUGUUUGAGAAGGAAGAAGGGCGUUCGAACAAGCAAGUCGUACGACUUGUGUCCGAACACUCGAGAAUUAAAGAGAUGUACAUUCAAUUAAUCUUUUUUUAAUCUAGUUUGAUUAUAAAAAGAGAGGUUAAAACAAUCGAGUCCUUAUCUUACAUAACUUAAUCAUAUUUUGAGUUUUGUAACUCUGAUUAAGGCGUGACCAACGGAAAAUGAAAGCUAACAAAAAGAGAUAUCUAGUUCCAAUAAUAAUAAAAAAUUAAAAAAAGAUAUGUUAAUUAUUACCACAGACAACACACAUACAACAAUAGCACACAUACAUCGUGACAUAUGUUCGGUAAUUUUAUCCUAUCUUGAGUUCCAUAACUUCGAUUGAGGUGAGACCAGAGGCAAAUGAAAGUAAACGAAAAAACCUAGCUAAUAUCAAGAUAAAAAAGAAACUGAAAAUUUAUGAAAUUAAUUUCCAUGGAUAGAACACAAUGAGUUUUAGGAGUAUUGAUCACUGUAUGCCAUUAAUUAUUAUCCCUAACAUGUAGCUAUGAAGUGUUUAAAAGAUAAACUCAAAGAAAUAACAUCUAUAACAAAAAUACAACAUAUUUAAGAGUAUAUAAAUAUAUAAGAACAAGAACUCAACAAUACGUAAAAGAAUAAAAUGCAAAAAAUGGAGAAAAAAAGCUACCAACAAUGAAGCUUUUGGAUAUAUAGGAUGUUGAUGUUAUUUACAAGGUCAAUCAAUGACUUCUUCGUCCAUCUCUCACAAUAAAAUAAACUCUUUUUAUCUCUCAAAUUUUUCAACACUUCUUUACUCUAAAAAAGCUUCCCCCUUUCUUACAAAAAUGACCAUUAUUUAUAGUAGAAUGCUAGAGUUUUGGGCGAGGAUAAUAACAAACUUUGUUAGGUUUUUGAGAUAAUGAUGGGAGGUGAAAAAUGCAGGUUGGGAGAGGGAAAAGGAUGUCAAAACUUGGUGGCUAAAUCAUCCAAAAUGCAUCAUGCAAGGCAACAAACAUAUCACUAAAAUGACAAGACAAAAAGGAGGGUAAAUUGAAAGUAAAAAAGGACAAACACCAAAGAUGAAGAUUCAUUGAUUAAUAUUAAAAAUUAACUUUUGUAAAUCUCUGAUUAGUCUUUGAUCAUGAUUCAAGAUUUUGUCAUUUAGCCUUUAUGUUUGAAUUUGAAUUUUUGAAUUUUGGCAAUUUGCUAGAAAACAUAAAAACCCUAAAUGCAUGAUAUUUUUUUUUUGGAUUUUCAUGAUGAAAUUAAAAACAACAGUAAAAUCGGUGAUAAAUGAACAACGAAAGACUAAAUUGAAAUAUUUUUGUAUUUUUAAAGUUAAUCGAUAAAUUUUAAAAAAUUAUGAAAAAUUACGAAAUCGAUUUUUAUUGUCCGGACAAAAUUGAGGUACUACAAUAUGAAUAUAAACUUGUGUCUUAUAAAUCGAAUUAUGUUGCAAUGUAAAACACACGUGUACAUAAUAAUAUCAUACUUUUUUCUCUUCUCUUUCUCUCUAUUAGAGGUAUCGUAACCAAAAGUAGUUAGACUAUUUUUAAAAAGCUUGUUAGCCAAGUUUGUUAGGUGGUUAGAUAGUUAGUUAGAGAAGUUAGGAGAUGUAUCUAACUUCCCUUAGCUCUAACUUGUAUAAAUACAAAUCAAUCACCACUCAUUAAUUUAAUGAGCUAAUUCUAUCAAUACAAGAAAAUCUUGUAUCAUCUUUUUCUUAUAUGCAUUCAGGUCAUUCAAUAUGGUACAAUCACUUAGAAGAGACUUCUUCCAUUAUCAUAUCCAUCCUCCUUGAUUGAUCUAGGUGAAGAUUGAAGCUUCAUAGAAGCAUAAUAUUGUGUUCAAUUGAAUUAUACAUCAAGCUUCAAAGAAGCUUCCAUAACAUAGGUUGAACGCUGCCCUUAAGAUUCACAAGAUAUGGUUUGUUCAUCACAAACUACCUCAACUCACCUCGCAUAUUCAACCUCAACAAACACGUUUGCAUAAAUUUUAUCAGUCAAACUUCUAUAAAGUAAUUUUUUUACUGUAAUCAGCAUGUAGAAAGAAUUACCUCCCUUAAAAACUCCACAAAGUGAUGGUAUGGUCAUCUCUCUCCCAUAAUAUAUCGUUUAAUCAAACUAGAUAAAUAAGUUAUUAUAUUUAUUAUAUUUAUUUUAUAUUCUUCUGCCAAGUUAAAUUAAUGUAUUAUUGCUUAAAGAAUUAUCUUUGUUAAUAUAAUUUAUUUUGAUUGUAAUUUUUCUUUAUCCCUCACAUCAAAUUAUAUAGUAUAUUAAAACUUUAAAUAAAUUUUUCAUAAGUGCUUUUAACUAUUCUAUCACUUACUCACAACAUAAAUUAUAUACAAUUAAGAUCCGCACAGUCUGCAGGGUUGGAGAUGAGUUAAUAAAAUAGUUAAAAAUUGUGUAAUUUAGACCAAAAAAAAAGAACAAAAAAGUGAACUUUUAAGUGACAAACGGACAGUGGCCAGAGCCACCGUCUUCUCGGACGAGCAUGGAGAUUCCGGCCAGAGUUGCAGGUCAUAAAAACUUGAUGAAAACGAGCGAUCCUCAUAUCAUUGGAAAGCUGGGGUGAUGUACAUCACCCCUGUGCCAUUAGUUUCUCUUCUAGAUUCUCAUAGUAAGAGAAAUCAGAAGGAGAAAAAUAUGGUGUUCAUGUUGAACUUCAUGGAUUUCAAAAAUUGAGCAUACAGAAAUGAUGCCUCUAUAGAGAGGACUUCCGACAACAUAAUAUCAAGGCCAAUAGAUCAAGGAAUAAGGAGUUUCGAAGAAAAAACCAGUUGAUGAACACCUUUGAAUUGUGAAGCUUUGAGUCACUUUCCUUGCUUCCUUUUGCCAAACAGAACUUCAAUGGACUAGAUGAUGAAGGUUUAGGAACUUUAAUGAUGAACACCUUUGAAUUGUGAAGCUUUGAGUCACUUUCCUUGCUUCCUUUUGCCAAACAGAACUUCAAUGGACUAGAUGAUGAAGGUUUAGGAACUUUAGAUCUGAAGAUUCAACCAAAUUCAAUAGAAUUUCAGAUUUGAAAUUUUGAAGAAAUGUGAACUUAGUUCCUUUGGUAUGGUUGGGAAUUGAUUUCUGCAGAGCUUUAGGCGCCUUUAGGUUGAAGAAUAAUGAAGCUGAGCUCAUGUAUUUAUAGCAAGGCAAGGUGGAAGCAUGGGAAAAUCAUGUGCAUGAGUGGAGAGGGCCUCCAUGCAUGGGCAUGUACAUGCGCAUGGAGGGCCCAAAUCCAAUGCCAAAUGCAAGCUGAAGUAUAAUUGAGCUGAAAUGGACAUGUACAUGCAAUUGGUUUGGAGUGUGCAUGAAGUUUGAAACAAGUUUCCAUAUUUGCACAUAAACCUUCUCCUCUUCGAAAAUGCCAAUUAGAAAAUCCAAACAUAAGCAUGUGUGUAAUGGUUGGAAAGGUCUUGACAUAAGGAACAAAUGUUAUGUUGAGCAAGAACUCAUUUGAAGUGUGGAAAUUUAUGAAAAUAGGCCAUGAAGUUCAUAGUGCAAAACAUGCCUUUGAGAAUUUUGCCAAAUUGAACCAACUUCAAGCCUUUCUGUUUUGAUGAUGAAAGCCUCAAAUGGAAACACCUCUAACAUAAAAGUUGUAGAUCUCUUCAAGACAAUCAAGAUGGACUUAAAUUUUGCAUCAUUUGGAUUUUUGAUGAAGAAGUUAUGGGCACUUGAAGUUGGACUUUUUUGCCUUUCAAUGCAUUUGGUCCAAAGUGACCUAUAAUGUUUUGCAUUAUCAAAGUUAUGGGCACUUGAAGUUGGACUUUUUUGCCUUUCAAUGCAUUUGGUCCAAAGUGACCUAUAAUGUUUUGCAUUAUCACAUGUAUUUCUUUUGAGAUUUUGAAAUUUUGUUCAACAUAACAUUUGAUGCAGACACAAUAAGAUUUCCAAUGCAUUUGAUCCCACAUCAAAAUAAUAAAAAAUGAAUGAGUUGUGUUCUUGGGAAGUUGACCCAAAAUUAGGGUUUCAGUCAAAAUGACCUAUAAUGUCUUGGAAUGGGAGAUGACCUUCCAAGCUUCAAGUAAAUUUUUGAUUAACAUGAAAGUUGUUAAUAUUGUCCUUAAGAACAUUUGUUCUCUUGGGAUCAUCUCCAUUUGACCAACACAUAAGAAGUUAGGUCUCAGUGCAUUUCAAAAUAGUCAGAUGAAUUGACUGAUCAACUUUCCAAGCCCACAACUCAUAUCUUGAUGAAUUGAUGAUUGAGGGCACUCAAAUAAGUUCAAAUAUGCAUGAAAUGAUGAAUUAAAGAACUUCCCUUGAUUGUAUUUGACCAUGGACUGAGGUUGCUUCAUGAGCAAGGCACACUUGGUACAUAGAUGAAUUAGGGUUUCCUUGGGAACAAACCUCAAACCCUUUUGACUUGCUUUGAUCAAAAUGAUGAAAUGAGAUACUAGGGAGGCAUAUUUGAUGGAUGAGAGCUUUGGGAACCAUUACCAUGCUUGCUUUCAUCUUUUCUUGGCCAUAUCUUUGCACAAAGGAUCUCCUAGAAGCUUUUGACCUUGUGAUUGCUCAAGCUACACACAAGAGAUGUUAGUGACAUAUUUUUGUGCUUUUGGUUAGUAAAUAAAAUGAGAAAAGAAAUAAUAUACAAUUCAAGCAUGCUUGGUGAUCUCAAACCAAUCACAAGAGAUCCCACCCAAAGGCAAAGGAAACCAAGAUGUUUAUGAUCCUUGAGGCUUUGCAAAUGCAAUAUUAUGAUACCAUGAGGGAUCUUAGGGCCAAAAUUGGGGUCCUACAGAUGCCCCUAUUUAAGGUCAUUCUAGCCGGAGAAGUGAAGGUUAAAAUCUUCGUCUCGACGAGGUAGAAUGGGCUUAAAUAAUAACAAAGAAACGAAUUUUGGUCCCUAAGAGACCUCAUAAAGCAGAUGUAUGUAUGCAACAGGUAACACUCUGUGGAGAUAUGUGUCCACAAAGAAAGAAAGAUAAAUCCGGAAUAACUGAGAAUCCACUGGAGUAACAUACUCGCAAAAGGGACAAAGACUCUAGGGAUUCUACUGGGGAGUAAAGAGAUAAAAAUGCGUGAGCAGGUCACGACUUGAAACUUGCUGAGAGACUCGAAGGAAAUCCAUGAAAUAAAUCACUGGAAGGACUCGAGCUGACUCAAAGAUGCAUGUAUUGGGGAAUAUGCCAAUACAACAAAAAUUAUCCGUAACAGAUACUUCGGAUAAGACUCCGGACUCAGGCUGGGAGAAUCCACUAAGGGACCUCGCUGGGGAAAAACCCCAAAUAAAACUCCUCUGGGGAAGCAACGGGAUGAGGUAUUACCGGUUACUGGGUAAUAAGCUCAAAGAGACAUGUGAUCCGAACACCGGUAUAAGGGUGAGAGAACAACAUGCUCGGAAAGAAUGAAUAUCUAAGACCGAUAUAAGGCUGAGAGAUAUCAAAAAUCCGAAAUCAUCUGAGGAAGACCUAAAGAGGUAUGCUUCGGCUCAGGAAAAUCUGACUCCGCAAGGGACAAAAUGUCAUAAUAGGGAGCAGAAGGGAAGGAACACCAGGGAUACCGGUUACUAGGCAUAUAAUAGGUGACCCACCAAAGCGUGACUCGGGGAGUAUUACCAAGACACUCAUCAUCCAAAAGAGGGCUAAAAGCAAACUCGAUUAUAGGAUGGACAUUCGAUUCCAACAGAAGGGAAUACGAAUCUUACUCAACUGGGGAAGCAAUAAACUUCAACUGAAGAGUGCAUGAGAUAUAUUAUCUAUUACCGUCAGAACGUAGACAAUAUACUCACAUGGACGAUUAUCCACAACCGGUUACUGGGUUAAUAAAGGAUAGAUCGACCGACCAGGAAAGACAUCGGGAUACCGAAUACUGGGUAUAUAAUGAUGACCAAUCAAAGGGAGAAACGAUCAUUACCAAUAAAGGGUGAAUGAGAGAUGACUCACUGGGAAAUAUAUUUAUAUUAGAAAUAUGUAUGAAAUUCACAAUUGAUUUUUAAUUUGUAUUUUAUAAGAUUGAGAAAAUUGUGUAAAAAGAAAAAAAUUAAUAACAUGUUUUAGAAUUAUGCUAUUUAGUUGUACCAAAAUUGUUUUAUUAGAAAACUUCAUACAAGGACCCAUAGUGCUUGCUAUCUUAGGGGGCCUUUAAUAAGCUUUAAGAGACUUAUAACAUGGCAGAAUCUUUAAUACUUUUUAAAAGUUUAUUAAAGACUAAAAAAGCACCUGUAAUUUUUUUUCUAAAAAUUCAAUUUAUAUAGAUUGGCUAUUAAAAUUGUCACCAACAUAUAUUAACAAAUUAAUCAAUAUUGAUGAUUCAAUUUUUUAUGUUACUUAUUAUAAUUUUAUUUAUAAAAGUUAGUUUUGUGAAUAUCAUUUCUAUUUUAGAAUUUUGUCCUUUAAUAUUAUGAAAUAAUAGUAAAAGUUAAAUAUAUACAGAAUACAAUAAAAGUUUAAUAAACAAUAAUGAACUUUGAUGUUGUUAAAUGAUCAACUAGUUUUAUUAAUUGGGUGACCUAAAGUGGUUAACCCAAGACAUUAGGUUUCAUAUGAAUGGUUUAUUGUUACUCCCAAGAGUUAAAAAUUAUUUGAUAAAAACAAAAGAAUAUCAGAAUUCUUACUAUAUAUAAUAAAAGAAAUUAUAUGGUUUCAAUUUGAUCAAACAAUUUCCUAUUUAUUACAUUUGCAAAAGAAGAAAAAUAAUUAUGGUUUCAAGUUUCAAGCUCUUUUAUGCUUUGGUUAUUUUUAUUUCUCUAUUUAUGGUUUUAACCAACAGUAGUAAGUUAUAUUCUUGUAUUAUUUUCAACUUUUUUAUAUACAUAAUGUUUACUUAUCUUUUAGUAAUUUAUUCAUUUUUUAAUAUCGCAGCUCGGUUCCCCUUAAAUCCACUUCGCUGCAUUGAAGAUGAUGAUUGUCCUUGGGAUAUGUGUCUUCACACUAAUUUAGAUCGGAUAUGUAUUAAUGAUGCUUGUUUUUGCGGAUGACUUUUAGAAAAAUAAAUCUAUAUUACUCAUUAACAACGAAUAAUGUUACUUGUAAAUGAAGUUUACAAAAUAAUAUUUAAAUAAUUUUUGGCUUCUCUAUUUUGAUAAAAGUGAAAUUAAUGGUUAAAGUUGUUAUGAAUAAUAUUCAAUUCGGAUGUGCUGGUCCAUUUUCAGGAUAAAAA
rnacentral:lncRNA from 1 species